rnacentral:lncRNA from 1 species
UAUAGAGGCCCAUCAUCAAAUACCUUUUUAUGCUUUAUAAUUUACCCAACUUAACAUUAGGUUUAUUGGGCCCAACCCAAUACUAAUAUGAUUUUAAAAAAUAAAAAUAAAAAAAACAAUUUUCGUUAAAGCAUAUGGGCACAGUUUUCGAGCUCGAACAGGGUACGUGAAUUCUCAGAGACGCCCCUGCAUAUAUCAUGUUGAAUCAUGGCCAUCAUCACAAAAUGACAGAUACAGAGUGGUUAAGCAGAAGUAGUGAUUCUGUGUAGGAGGUCUUCAUGAUAUGCGGAUCAAAGAAACCAGACACUCGAAGAUAAUUGCUGUGCUCUGAGUAGGAGUCAUACACUUCAAGUGUUGUUACCGGAAAAUUACCAGGCCUCAUACAUGUGUGCUCUCUUAUCAUUUGACUAUUCUUCAUAAAUCUAAUUAUUCUAUCACUUUCUCUCUUAAAGCUGACGGUCGUAAAUCUGGUCAUUGGAUCACCAGUUUUUAUCAUGGUCCAUACAUCACAAACCACGGCAGCUUCUUUGUAAAUAAGCACAGAAAGAGAACCUUUAAAGUUAGAGAUGGAAAGAUUUGUGGCAUGUGCUAAACUAUCUGGAAGCUCUACCUCGCCGAAUUCUUCGCUUGUCAAAUCAAAUGAAAUAAUCCAACGGGGAAGAUUAUCAAAAGCAAUCCAAUGAAUAACCCCAUCUAUAACCACCGGCUUACAUGACAAAUGCAUUGAAUUAAGAGGCCAACGAAGAUUCACCGUUAUACUUCUCCAAGCCCCUGAGCUUAAUGUAAAAACCACAGCCUUCGAAUCGAUUCUGUUACCGCUUUUGAUCGCAACAAUCUUAGGGUCACUAGUUUUAGGACAGACCCCAAAACCAAUGACAACAAACUCAUACGGCAUCACUAUACCAACAGAUUUCCUAAUUGAUGGGUUCCAAAGAACAGCUAUCAUCGUUAUCAGAAAUUGAAACAUAUUUUUCCUUAGAGUCUACUAUGUACUUCACCAGUAGAUGUUGCGGCUGAGCCGGGUUGACGAUGUGAUCAGCGAUAAACUCAGGGCUAUCGAUCAAAGACUUCCAUUGUUUUGAAACUGAUCUGAACCGAAUCAGUGAUUUGACAGGAAGAACCCUUUUGAU